UUAGUAGACGACGAAGAUGAAGGCGGGUGGAUAUCAGAAGAUGACACUGCCUUUCUGUGUCCCUUCGCCUGCUUUCUCUGUACCUCCUUUAUUUCUCGGCAUGUCUUAUCUAUCAUUAUCAAGAAAUCUCUCACAAUUACAAACAACCGUAAGCCCUCAUCUUUUCCUGCAUUUCCAUGGAAGUAGUCGCCUGUGCUUUUCACCAAUUCCAUGAUUCUUUUUUCUUCUUCCAGGAGGGCCAUGAUAUCAGCCUCAGCAUUCUGCACAAAGACUUUCAGUGUUUCGUGAAAUUGACUCUCUUCACCUAGACCCUGCAUGUCUUUAUUCACAAAGUCUCUUGUCUUUAAGAGUGCAUGCCCAAGUUUCGAAACAGUUCCAGUCAAGGCAUCAGCAUCUAUCGUUGCUGCUUUCUUCACAUUCUGAAGUUCGCCACUCAACCCCGAGACGACCUGAAGACCCAAGGUACGAUAAUGCUCUUCGGUGUCAUUAGUAGUUUCAUCCAGCAAAUUCUUUGAUGAGGUGCUUGAGAAGCUCUGGCUUCCUGUGCCAUUCCGAGCAGCUCUUAUCCCUUCUGUGCGAAUUAUCUCCUGAACUACAAAGUGCAAUAAUGUAGUCUUGCCAUCUUUUCCUUUCACAUCCGACAAUUUUAAAAGAGUGUCCAAUUUGAAUGCUUGUGCACCACCACGAAAAGUCCCAUCGUUCAUUCGAUUGCCCGUCUUAAGAACAGCUUCUAGAAGUUUGAGGAACAACCUGCUGCUCCGAAGUUCCUUGCAAGCAACCUGCAGUUAUCAUGUAAAGUCGAUAUGAAACCAGAAUUAGUCAGAAAAUUCAGAGAUGGAGGAGAAAUAAACUCAUAUAAUGCAAAAGAACUUGAAUCUUUCAUAAUGUAUACUAAUAUAUAAACAUUUGAGACGUGAAUAUAUGAAACGAGAUGAACAAAGACUCUGACUUCGGUAGUUGGAGAACAACCAUCUCAUGUGUCAAUAAUUUGAAGAAUCAGGAAAUUCGCUAAUGAAAUAUACACAUCAGUCAGACUUCUUUUAGCAAACCUACAUAACCAUAACACGAUAAGCUGAAUCAUUUCAACAGCUGGUAGAUGGACAGAAUUUUCGGGGCAAAGACAGAUUCACGGGAACAAUUGUGAGACUUCACGGGCCAGUAGGCAGACAAGUGCAAAUCCAGUUGUAGGCUGUGGAUCUUGUCUACUUUGUAUGAUGCCUUUUUUGAAUUUGAAUUAAUACUUAUUAACUAUUUUCUACACUGGACAUACAAACUCAAUGAAUUGCUCCAUUAGAAUACUACUCUUCAGAGAACACCUAGCUGCUUUUUUUGUUGAAAAGUAAACAUAACAAAACCAUGACAACAAAACAAGUCUGUUACCUAUUCGUCGCUCAGUUUCUCAUGCAUGACUAACUAUUGGGUUCAGAAUUGUUAAUAUCGAUAAAUAUUAAGCGUUUGAAGUAGUAAAUGUAAUACAGUGAAAAGUGUUCUACCUCCAAGUUAACGAAGGACUCUUUGGUGAUCGCGAUGUCCUCCUGAAGAGUGCCAAUGAAAAGCAACGAUUCCAACCUUUUGAAAGCAAAUGGGAUAUCAACCAAAGAUUUAAGGAAACGCUCAGCAUUUCCAAGUUGAGAAAGUUCCCCGCUAA
rnacentral:lncRNA from 1 species